rnacentral:tRNA from 1 species
CGCGGGAUAGUGGAGUGGCACCACGACGGGCUCAUAACCCGUAGAUCGGUCGUUCGAAUCGGCCUCCCGCAA